rnacentral:sRNA from 1 species
CCCACUGCUCCUGAGAAGGCCGGACUAAGAGACCUAGAGACCAGCAUGGGCAGCCCCAGUUCAAAUUUCUCCCACAUAAUCCUGCUAAUGUGCCUCAAUCCUGAUUUGGAAGGGCCAUCUCUAGGCAUGGGAGGGUAGUUCCGUCUCUAUGGCCCACUCAAUCCUUGGCAUCU